CUACGGGAGGCAGCAGUUAGGAAUAAUCUACAAUGCGCGAAAGCGUGAUAGUUUGAGUCAGAGUGCGCUCCAAUUUGGAGUGCUUUUGCCAAAUCUAAAUAGUUUGGCGAAUAAGGACUGGGUAAGACGAGUGCCAGCCGCCGCGGUAAUACUCGCGGUCCAAGUCGCAGCCAUUUUUAUUGGGUCUAAAACAUCCGUAGCUUGCUUUGUAAGUUCUUUGUGAAAUUCUAUAUCUUAAGUAUGGAGCGUGCAAAGAGUACUGCUUAGCUAGAGACUGGAAGACGUAAGAAGUACGUUCGAAGUAGCGGUUAAAUGUGUUAAUCUCGGACGGACUAACAAGAGCGAAGGCAUCUUACGAGGACAGUUCUGACAGUAAGGGAUGAAGGCUAGGGGCGCAAAACGGAUUAGAUACCCCUGUAGUC
rnacentral:rRNA from 1 species